UCCUCCUCCUCCUCCAGCACGUACCCAGACAUAACUACUGAUGAUCAGCGUCAUGAGUAUAAGAGAGAGUUUGAUGCCGACCUCAGGCGAUACAAGCGCCUGUGUGCUGAGAUGGACGACAUUAACGAUCAGUUGAACAAACUCAGCCGGCAGGUGGACACGCUGGAUGAGACCUCUCCCAAAUACCAGGCUGCAGCUGAGCAAUAUAACCAGCUGAAGGAUCUGAAGCAGACUUCAGAUUACCAGACUAAGAAGAAAGAGUGUCGCAGCCUGAGACACAAGCUGUUCCACAUCAAA